UACCAGACUCCUACGGGAGGCAGCAGUCGGGAAUAUUGCGCAAUGGGGGAAACUCUGACGCAGUGACGCCGCGUAUAGGAAGAAGGUUUUCGGAUUGUAAACUAUUGUCGUUAGGGAAGAUACAAGACAGUACCUAAGGAGGAAGCCCCGGCUAACUAUGUGCCAGCAGCCGCGGUAAUACGUAGGGGGCAAGCGUUAUCCGGAUUCACUGGGUGUAAAGGGAGCGUAGACGGCCAUGCAAGCCUGGAGUGAAAGCCCGGGGCCCAACCCCGGGACUGCUCUGGGAACUGUGCGGCUGGAGUGCGGGAGGGGCAGGCGGAAUUCCUGGUGUAGCGGUGAAAUGCGUAGAUAUCAGGAGGAACACCGGCGGCGAAGGCGGCCUGCUGGACCGUGACUGACGUUGAGGCUCGAGAGCGUGGGGAGCAAACAGGAUUAGAUACCCCGGUACGU
rnacentral:rRNA from 1 species